rnacentral:misc_RNA from 1 species
CCACCACCCCCUCCUGUGCCACCUCCAAAGCCUCUGGCAACAAAUUCAAAUACAAACUCAAACUCGAGGAGAUUUGUAUCAGGGAGUUCAAAUUCUGUGCGAAUUGGAUCAUCCAGAAGAGCAGCUGCUUGGCCUAUUGUUUCUACAAGGACUUCACCAUCAGCGUCACGGCCUUCCUCUCCUAGGUCUCAUGUUGAUAGUGAGGGGUAUAAUAGUGCUGAUGAGCAGAACCCUUGCUUUGCUUCCUCCUAUGAUGAUUUGGAAAGAGAACGUCAAUUUGAGAUUGACAUCAGGCGGUCUAAAGGAUUAGAAGUCAAAAGAAUGUUGGAGGAUGGGAAUUGUCUAUUCCGUGCUGUGGCAGAUCAAGUGUAUGGAGAUUCUGAAGUGUAUGAUUUAAUUAGACAAAUGUGCAUAGAUUAUAUGGA